rnacentral:lncRNA from 1 species
GUCUGAGGAGCUGAUGAGUCAGCAGUGGCGGUGGCGUGGAAGCCAUGACCGCCACUAAACACUGCACCUGAACUGGCUGAGGUGGUAGCUGUUAAAGUCUGAAAGAAAAUAUAACUGUAAGCAGGUCACAGAAAUACAGGGCGAACAAAUAGUAAAGCGACAGGAUAAAGCGGAGGUGUGAGUCCAUCUGUCGUCACCGCAACAAAAUACCCGAGGAAAUGUGGAAAACCUUGUGCUGUCUCCUGCUUCAGAGGCACCAGCCCUAGGUCACGCUCAGCCUGGGCCUGUGGUGAGAUCCACCUCACAGCAGAAGUUUGUGUUGCUCUCUCACACUAACGGUUUGAGAAUUUGAUCCCUUCUGCUACCUAGAAGCUGGUUGCCCCUGAGGUCCCUCCUUCCUCUAGCAUACCACUCCUCAGAAUGUCCAGAGAUGACGCUGCAAGGACCCGUCUGUGACGAACUAGGGCACUGAGGAGAGCGUUCUCCAGGUUCCUUCCUCUUCCUGCGUUGCCAUUGUUACCGUGUGACAUUCCAGGGUAGGAGAGGACACCGAGAGUCAGGAGAGACAACAGCACACUCCGCCCAUUUCAAUAAAGAGAAAAGCAAUCUCGAGAAAGCAAACGACCCCUGCCAACCCUCGGUUGGAAUCUCAGGACUCUGACUGCGUAUGCUCUACCCAGUGGAAACGUUCGCCACAUGGGCUGGGGAGAUGACUGGCUUGGGUGAAGCACUUGCUACACAGCCCAAGGACCUGAAAUCAGAACCCCAGAACCCUUAGAAAGACUGGCGUGGCUCCCAGCACCCUACAGGAAAGUGGGAAGCAGCGACAAGAACAUUUCUUGGCAAACUGGGAAGGAGGAGGAGUCCCCAACUGGAACAAGGGGGCUCUGCCUUGGAGAAGAAUGACCUGGGUUCCAUUUGGAACAUGUGGGGAGCUAGCUGCAUGGUGAAUCCCCUGAAUUUGAUCAUUACAUAAAAGCUACAGAAGAGAAGAAACGGUCCUGUACUUGAUGGAGUUCGUGGGCUGGAAGGUCUCUGUGCCCCACUCUCUGUUUGUUCAGAAAGAAGUGAGAAAAGUGCAUGCAUGCGCCAUGGCGGCAGUGGCAGGUCCUGAGAGAGCAGACUGUGGCACACAACAUCAGCUCAAUGUGCCUGUAGCUUUUCUGAAGCCUGAACAUUUUUCUAAGAUGAAGAGUGUAAAAGGAUAGGUAAGAACACACCUGUGGGGAUGGAGAGAUGACUCCGCAGUUUAAAAGCACUAACUGCUCUUCCAGAGGUCCUGAGUUCAAAUCCCAGCAACCACAUGGUGGCUCACAGCAAUCUGUAAUGGGAACUGGUAACCUCUUCUGGUGUGUCUGAAGACAGCGACAGAGUACUUAUGUGCAUAAAAUAAGUAAAUAAAUCUUUUUUUAAAAAAACUGUGAUAAACCCAAAGCCUGUAUUAAAUCCAUAUUGCAUAGUUAUUUGUUUUACUGUGUAGGGUCAUGAGCCCACUGUCACACACGUGCUAAGCAAGCACUCUACCACUGAGCUACAGCAAGCCUGUUAUUCUUUUCAUUAUUAUUGCUACAGCAUAUCACCACUGAUAUCACCACCACCGUCAUCAUCACCACCACCAUCAUCAUCAUCGCCACCACCGUCUUCAUCACCGGCCAUGCUCCCAUCUGUAACUCUGUCCUACUGCUACUUUAUGUACCUAUCACUACAUCAGCCUCAGCUCUCAUUAGUGAGAGAGGUGCUAAGUCACAGAGUUGUUCCGAGUCCUUGCAUGGCUGAGGUCUCAUUCUAGGCAAUGAGACAAUGAAGAAUAGACACACACACACAUUUGUCAAUGGACAGAAAGGCUGAGAUUUUGUGGACUAAGGGUUCCAA